UUUAAAGCGCUCAGCCACACACGUGGCUCUCUUUGUCUCGGGAAGUGGAAGGCAAUGGGUCAGUGUUGGAAGGUGUGCACGGAGCCCGACAUGCUGAUGGCUGGCGUGCCCGCUGACUGGCCUCACAAUGCAGUGACAGGCUGAGGGGGACAGCCAGUAAUGGGUUAAACCAAGCACACAUUUGGACAUAGCCUGGCUCCCAACGUCUGUGCCAUGAGCUGCUGGGUGGCUUCCAGCCCCUGGUCACGCAGGUAUGUAUCCAGUGUCUUAAGGGUUCCAUUUAGAAUGUUCUAAUUUAGAAGCUAUUAGAAAUUAAAUGUUAGAAUAACUUUACAACAAUCUGUGGUUGCAAUCACUUUUGGGGGGUUUCUUACCUCUCCGUUAUCUGUAUCACUAGUUUGAAUCCCUUAACUGCCAGUUCAGCAUCCUGUAGUAUACUGUACUGCUAAAAUGAUUUAAGUAAUGUAACGUGUAACUUUCUUAUUUUUAUUUUUUGGGGGGUGGGGUGUAAUGUGUAGAUACCAUUUUUCUCAUUAAAGUAGGAAGAGCUUUGUGGAAACAAUGUAGUUACAUGUUUAAAUUAUUUAACUAGUUUUAGAUAUCAUUCAACCCUUAUACGAUGCCUUGGCUAUGUAGGCGACUUUUAUUUAGUUUUCAGUUAUAUAGUGCCUUUAUGGUGUAGGUCCUUCAGUUUGAAGUGUUAAUCAAAGGAAAAUGCCCAUGUUACCGGUACUUAAGGUAAACUUACCUGCUUACUGUAACUGCAUAACAUUAAGUGUUAUAAGCUGAAGAGCCCAAACCCCUAUCUAGAAAUGCUUGAGAUUCUGCUUUUCGUUUGAAGUAACAUGUGCACAAGUGCUAAUCACAUGCACAAUGUUGGGUACCUGUCUAAUUACUAGUGUUGUCCAUUUGCUUGACCAAAAACUGCCACCCAUCAGAACAGCUCUUGCUAAAGGGCAUGGCUUGCAUUAUUUGAAGCCUGAUUGUUGCAGGCUAACAUGGGUAAACAAACUUACAGCAGGAUUGCCAAGAGUCUUUCUAAAGUCUUUAAUCUUUCAACCAACUAGCAACUGACCCUCUUUAACUUUUCUGUAAUUGUGCCAAAAGUUCAGCCUCUUGAAUACCUGUAACAAGUGCUUUUUAAACUUUUUUUAGGUUCUUUUUGGAAUAUACAAACUUGCUGUGGACACGCUCAAUCCGAUAUUGAGUCACAAACUGCGACAUGUAAGUUUGUUUUUUGCAUUCUAUAUAUGGUCUUUAAACAUAGCAUGAUAUGGUGCACAUCCUGAACCAAUGAUGCUAGCACUGGGCUCUGAAUUAGAAUGAGCGAUAUCUGUGCCCCUCUGUACUGACAUGCAGAGGGCCUGAAGGACAGGAAAUCUAGCACUUAAAUGUCGAUUACUAAUUUAACAAGGAAUUGUCUCAUGGACUUUGUCUUUACAUGAGCAGCUUUUUGAAGACCAUCUUCAUAAUUGUGAUUUUUUGUCUCAACAGGCCUUGUCAACAUCAAAGGAGACCUUGACGUCAAUUUGAAAGUGGACAGGUACUAUGACUGCAGAUUAUAAAAAUUAACAUUGCGUUGUCCCUAUGAUGUCAGCACUGGGCUCUGAAACUGCUGAGCGAUAACUGUGCCCCACUGUCUUGACAUGCAGUGGGACUGAGGGACCAUAAUCUAGUGUGGCAAGCAGUCUUUAAUUUAAAGUGAACUGUUCAUAUACUAAGCCAGCUUUUAACCCCUUAAGGACAACUUCUGGAAUAAAAAGGAAUCAUGGUAUAUCUCACUAAUUUAAGCAUCAGGGUUGUAUUAAAGGAACUUCAUGGAGUGACAGCAUAAAAUAUCACUAGUCCUUACAGAAACACUAUAGAUAAGAGGGCUUGAAGGGUGAGACUUAUUCUUCCAAUGCUUUCCCUUGGGAACAGGGACCAUGUGGAAAUCUGAAAUCUUUACAUACAUCAGACGAACCUCUAGAGGCUUUUAAUUAGGGGUAGAUAACCUUUGGUUACCAGAUGUGAACUACAUAGCCCCUGAUACUUUGCUAGCAUUAUGGGAGAUGUAGUAAACAUCUGGAGUUCCCGGAGAUGCCUACCCCUGCUUUAAGGGGGUUAACAUUGUGACUGCUUGUGAAACGGCUGUAUACAUGUUAUGUGGAUAUUUUGCUCAAGCUUUGUGCUGUCAACCUUCUUAUUCUGACAAAUAUUUUUAUUUCAGGAAAUACUGGACUGAUGGACUCUGGAAUAAAGCAACUUUAUUUUGUUACAAACAUGGUUUAAAGCUUAGUAACUGUAAGGUUGUUUGAAACCUUCCUUGCCUUGAUAAAGAGAUUACUCUUAAUACUCAACUAAGAUUCUACUUUAGAUGUGAAGUAACUAGAAUUCAGCAUUGAACUAAUGCAGCACAUUUGGCACUCUAACCACUAAUGUGGUGAUGCUUGGCGUGCAACAGAUUUUAAAAUGCCUUACAUUUCAAAACUUCCUGUUUAAUAAAUUGUGUUAAACCAGGCAACUUGUCUAUUGUAUGUAUUUCAAAGUUUAGGGGGUCAAGAUGUUACAGAAUAACUGUGGACGUGUGUUUACAACAUCAUAUCUAGUCACGUGGAUUUAAAAAGUGAGACUGAACGUGCAAUUACUCAAAAUCUUGGUGUGCAAAAAGCAGGUGAAUCUAUUCAGCAUGUUUUUGCUGCUCAUCUGUUAAAAUCUAAAAUCACAUUGCAGAUCUAUAAUUUACAAAUGUGACUGGCAUUGUAACUUAAUGAUGGUGACACUGGUUCUUUGAGUGCCCUUUUAAGUCAGUCAAAAAUUGGUGCCAUCUCAGGACUAUAAUCCACUAAAUUAAACUUUUAACUUCAAAUGGUGACAAUUAUUUUUGCGUUUGAUUUCUUGGACACUAGAUUGUACUAAAUGAGGUGUGUUCUGACAAUCACCGAAUUUACCUUUUCCGACUAAAUUGCAAAUCUGUUCCAAUUAAUUAUCAAAAUCUAGACUGUAGCGAUCAGUGGGAACUUGUGUACUUGGCUAGUGGCUGAAAGUGCAUAGACUUUAAACCUUAUUACUCAAAAUUACACUUUUAGAAUGAGCUUUUUACACUGCAUACAUAUCUGAAAUCCCUAAUUUUGCAUAUGAAAAAAACUUCAUGCUGGAUUAGCUCAACACAUGUCAAUACAGGCCUGUACUAGUUUUUAACAAUUUGUGACAGGCCCUAUUAAAUCACAUAGAAACGGUGUUUUUACUAGUGUCUUGGUGCGGCUGAAUCUACUUCCAUGACUAUCACCAGUCUUGGUGAUCUCGGCCAAUCCAAUGCUUUCCUAUUGGAAGACUAUUGCACAUGUGCAGCAAAACUGCACAACUCUGCAUCUUCUCAGACGCAUUGAUUCAAUGCAUCCAUAUGGGGGCAUUCAGUGCCUUGAUGCAGAGUGUGGAGAGGUGAAAUACCAGUGCUGCACUAAACUAGGAAAUGCCUCUAGUGGCAAUCUGACUGCUCUCUUCCUAGGCAGCAAUGUAAACCCUGCCUUUCCUGUGCUUGUCCUGCAGGGACAGACUACACACUCCAGAACCACUACACUAAGCUGUAGUGGUUCUGGGAACUAGUGACCCUUCAGUAAAUUUGUUGAAAAGUUCAAUUAUAUUCUGUAGUAAAUAAAGUAAGCUUUAACCCCUUAAGGACAGAGCCAAAUGUACACAUUGUGAACAAAACCUGGCAAUUGCACUACAUGUCUGUCCAACCGUAAUUCACCUCUUUCAUAGUAAAUGCACCCACCCUUAUAUCAUUCAGGGGAAACCGGGCUUUCAUUUGAUAUCAAAUAUUUAGCCAUGAAACAUAAUUUAAUAUGAAAAAUGAGAGAAUACUUUAUUUUUUUUAGUUCUAAAUGACAUUUUAACGGUCAAUGUCAUAAUACUGUUUGCUUUUACUGCAAUAAAACACACAUUUGUAUUCAGUAAAGUCUCACGUGUAAGACAGUACCCCCUAUGUACAGGUUUUAUGGCGUUUUGGGAAGUUACAGGGUCAAAUAUAG
rnacentral:lncRNA from 1 species